UGUUAAAAUUUCAUUCAUUUGUACUAUUAAAAACUGACAUGUCUACUAGAAUUACCAUACAGCAACAUGUAGUGUGCUAUAUAUACCUCAUUCUGACAUACAAGGAUCGGUUUUAAACAACAUAAAUAAAUGAAAUUUUUAAUA
rfam:Gossypium raimondii Chr03_contig_67, whole genome shotgun sequence.